rnacentral:rRNA from 1 species
GUGGAUUAGAUACCCUGGUAGUCCACGCUGUAAACGAUCAAUACUAGGUGUGCGGGGACUGACCCCCUGCGUGCCGCAGUUAACACAAUAAGUAUUGCACCUGGGGAGUACGAUCGCAAGGUUGAAACUCAAAGGAAUUGACGGGGGCCCGCACAAGCGGUGGAUUAUGUGGUUUAAUUCGAAGCAACGCGAAGAACCUUACCAGGGCUUGACAUCCUACUAACGAAGUAGAGAUACAUUAGGUGCCCUUCGGGGAAAGUAGAGACAGGUGGUGCAUGGUCGUCGUCAACU